rnacentral:misc_RNA from 1 species
AAUUCUCAACUGCCCUUUGAUUUAUUUUCGAGGGGUGGCUUGGAUUUUGGGAGUUGCCGGCUGACCCUAGUCGGCUCUCCUUAAAAGCAUUAGUGAAAGGUGGCAAGCCCUGCAUGCACGGCCUUCGACGUGAUAAUGAUCGUCGUGGCUGGAGUGCGAGGCAUAGAUCUGACCUUUGCUUCUAAACAUCGUAUCGGGGACUUUUUGCUUCGGCAGACACGAACCUUUACUUUCUGACG